UACGGAGGGUGCAAGCGUUAUCCGGAUUUACUGGGUUUAAAGGGUGCGUAGGUGGGUUGGUGAGUCAGUGGUGAAAUACUUUCGCUUAACGAAGGAACUGCCAUUGAUACUACCAGCCUUGAAUACAGUGGAGGUGGGCGGAAUGCGUCAUGUAGCGGUGAACUGCUUAGAUAUGACGCAGAACACCAAUUGCGAAGGCAGCUUGCUACGCUGUUAUUGACACUGAGGCACGAAAGCGUGGGGAUCAAACAGG
rnacentral:rRNA from 1 species